rnacentral:sRNA from 1 species
CUCGUCGGCCUGCUGCGGGCAGAUGCAGUGCACGUGUGUGUCGAUGCCGCCGGCCGUGAUGAUCUUGCCCUCUCCGGCGACGACGUCGGUGCAGCUUCCCACCACCAUAUUAGGCGUGACGCCGUCCAUGACGUCCGGGCUGCCAGCCUUGCCAAUGCCGACGAUUGCGCCGUGCUUGACGCCAAUGUCGGCCUUGUAAAUGCCGCUCCAGUCGACGAUGAGCGCGUUGGUGAUGACCAGGUCGAGCGACUCGGCGUCGGUCCGCCCAGAAGCCUGUCCCAUGCCCUCGCGCAG